rnacentral:rRNA from 1 species
UGCCAGCAGCCGCGGUAAGACGGAGGGUGCAAACGUUGUUCGGAAUCACUGGGCAUAAAGAGCACGUAGGCGGCUGACUAAGUCGGAUGUGAAAGCCCUCGGCUCAACCGAGGAAUUGCAUCCGAUACUGGUCGGCUUGAGGAUAGCAGGGGUGAGUGGAACUCCAGGUGGAGCGGUGAAAUGCGUAGAUAUCUGGAGGAACACCGGUGGCGAAAGCGGCUCACUGGGCUAUCUCUGACGCUGAGGUGCGAAAGCCAGGGGAGCAAACGGGAUUAGAUA